rnacentral:rRNA from 1 species
CUGGCGGUAUGCCUUAGACAUGCAAGUCGAACGAGUUUCCGGGCUUGCUCGGAAAUUAGUGGCGAACGGCUGAGUAACGCGUAGGUGACCUACCCCGUAGUGUGGAAUAACUGCCCGAAAGGGUAGCUAAUACCGCAUGUUGAGCCGACAUCAAUGUCGUCUCCAAAGCAGAAAUGCGCUAUGGGCGGGGCCUGCGUUCGAUUAGCUAGUUGGUGGGGUAAUGGCUCACCAAGGCGACGAUCGAUAGGUGGUCUGAGAGGACGAUCACCCAGACUGGGACUGAGACACGGCCCAGACUCCUACGGGAGGCAGCAGUCGGGAAUUUUGCGCAAUGGGGGAAACCCUGACGCAGCAAUACCGCGUGUGGGAUGAAGGCCUUCGGGUCGUAAACCACUUUUUUCGGGGACGAUAAUGACGGUACCCGAAGAAUAAGCCACGGCUAACUACGUGCCAGCAGCCGCGGUAAUACGUAGGUGGCAAGCGUUGUCCGGAUUUACUGGGCGUAAAGCGCGCGCAGGCGGUGAAUGAAGUCGGAAGUGAAAGCCCCGAGCUCAACUCGGGAACUGCUUUCGAAACCAGUUCACUUGAAGGUGGAAGAGGGAAGUGGAAUUCCGAGUGUAGCGGUGGAAUGCGUAGAUAUUCGGAGGAACACCAGAGGCGAAGGCGACUUCCUGGUCCAAUCUUGACGCUGAGGCGCGAAAGCUAGGGGAGCAAACAGGAUUAGAUAUCCUGGUAGUCCUAGCUGUAAACGAUGGAUACUAGGUGU